GACGAACGCUGGCGGCGUGCCUAAUACAUGCAAGUAGGACGCAGUUGCGAACGGGUGAGUAACGCGUAGGUAACUACCUAUUAGAGGGGGAUAACUAUUGGAAACGAUAGCUAAUACCGCCUACUAGUAGAUGGACCUGCGUUGUAUUAGCUAGUAGGUCGGGUAAUGGCCUACCUAGGUAACGGUACAUAGCCGACCUGGAGAGGUGAUCGGCCAAACUGGGACUGGGGCACGGGCCAAACUCCUGAGGGAGGCAGCAGUAGGGAAACAUCGGCAAUGGGGGGAACCCUGACCGAGCAAAGCCGCGUGAGUUGAGGAGGUUUUCGGAUCGUAAAGCUCUGUUGUUAAGGAAGCGGUACUUAACCAGAAAGGGACGGCUAACUACGUGCCAGCCGCCGCGGUAAUAC
rnacentral:rRNA from 1 species